rnacentral:rRNA from 1 species
GAUCAUGGCUCAGAAUGAACGCUGGCGGCGUGGAUUAGGCAUGCAAGUCGAACGCGAAAGUUCCCUUCGGGGAGCGAGUAGAGUGGCGAAAGGGUGAGUAAUGCUUGGAUGACCUGCCCUCGAGACGGGGACAACAGUUCGAAAGGACUGCUAAUACCCGAUAGUCCGGUUUAGAUGCGUCUAGAUCGGUAAAUGGUGCUUCCGCUCGAGGAGGGGUUCAAGUCCUAUCAGCUUGUUGGUGGGGUAACGGCCUACCAAGGCUACGACGGGUAGCUGGUCUGAGAGGAUGAUCAGCCACACUGGCACUGAGAUACGGGCCAGACUCCUACGGGAGGCAGCAGUGAGGAAUAUUGCGCAAUGGGCGAAAGCCUGACGCAGCGACGCCGCGUGGGGGAUGAAGGUUUUCGGAUUGUAAACCCCUUUCAUGAGGAAAGAUAAAGUGGGUAACCACUUAGACGGUACCUCAAGAAGAAGCCACGGCUAACUUCGUG